rnacentral:rRNA from 1 species
GAUGAACGCUGGCGGCGUGCCUAAUACAUGCAAGUCGAGCGAGCAGAUAAGGAGCUUGCUCCUUUGACGUUAGCGGCGGACGGGUGAGUAACACGUGGGUAACCUACCUAUAAGACUGGGAUAACUUCGGGAAACCGGAGCUAAUACCGGAUAACAUUUGGAACCGCAUGGUUCUAAAGUGAAAGAUGGUUUUGCUAUCACUUAUAGAUGGACCCGCGCCGUAUUAGCUAGUUGGUAAGGUAACGGCUUACCAAGGCGACGAUACGUAGCCGACCUGAGAGGGUGAUCGGCCACACUGGAACUGAGACACGGUCCAGACUCCUACGGGAGGCAGCAGUAGGGAAUCUUCCGCAAUGGGCGAAAGCCUGACGGAGCAACGCCGCGUGAGUGAUGAAGGGUUUCGGCUCGUAAAACUCUGUUAUUAGGGAAGAACAAAUGUGUAAGUAACUGUGCACGUCUUGACGGUACCUAAUCAGAAAGCCACGGCCAACUACGUG